ACCCGGUUGGCUCAAUCGGUAGAGCAUCAGACUCUUAAUCUGAGGUUGCGGGUUCGAGUCCCGCACUGGGUA